AUUUUGGGAUUUUAAGAUUUUAGACUUGGGAAUUUAACCUAGGGUGCUCGGGGUUGAGUCUUUUACCAUAUUUGGUGAAGUUCAAUGUUCCGAGUACUAGAACUUGGCUUGGAAGCUCAUUUAAGGUUGUUAAUGGUGUCUUUCUUCAUGGUUGUGACUAGGUGUUAAGCUAGGGCUCGAGGAUCGGAUCGCGCUCAAGGAGUAUCGCCCGUAACUAACUCAUCUGAAAGCUAAAGGUAAGAAAACUGCACCUGGUUGAUUAUAUGAGACGGGACUAAGGGCUCCCUAUUGUAAAAGCUUGAAAGGAUGGUAUUAUGCCAUGCAAGCCAUUUAGUGAACCAACGGCCUAAGGGUGCCAAGGGUCUCACUAGCGCACAGGGCACGGCUUGGCCACUGGUAGCCGAGGACAGCUUAUUAUGCACUGAGCUUGGUUUAAGCGGGCCAGAGUCAGUGGGUUAAACAGAGGGCGCGGCCUAAGUCGUCGGCCCUGAUUAUUAUGUGAUAUGAGCAGAAUAUGUGGUAGAAUGUAUCUUGUAUUGGAUUGUAUAUGCUGAUUAUCUGUUGUGGACUAUCUAGUAAAGGCAAGGGCAAGUUAGAUCAGCCCUGACUGGAGAGCUCGGCGAGCGGAAUGUACAUUGCCAGGUGCUCGGCCGCCACGGUUGAGGUCUAGGCAAGGACAUGGAACCUAAAGACUGUCUGUUUUGCCUUAGUAUGGCUAGUGGAUCCUUAUGUACUUUUGGAAGUCUGUAAACUUAUUUUAACUUUGUGUUUAUGGGAUCCCUUGUUUAUUACAGUUUAAAUAUAUGAAAUGAGUCUUUUGAGACCGAAA